GGGAAUAUAGCUCAAAUGGAUAGAGCGUUUGCUUCCUAAGCGAAAGGUUACUGGUUCGAUUCCAGUUAUUCUCA
rnacentral:tRNA from 1 species